AAGACGACGACGUUGAUAGGCCGGGUGUGUAAGCGCAGCGAUGCGUUGAGCUAACCGGUACUAAUGAACCGUGAGGCUUAACCUUACAACGCCGAAGCUGUU
rnacentral:rRNA from 4 species